GAUGAAGAACGUAGCGAAAUGCGAUAAGUAAUGUGAAUUGCAGAAUUCAGUGAAUCAUCGAAUCUUUGAACGCACCUUGCGCCCUUUGGCUAUUCCGAAGGGCAUGCCUGUUUGAGUAUCAUGAACACCUCAACUCUUCACGGCUUGCCGUGAUGAGUUUGGACUUUGGGGGUCUUGCUGGCCUACGAGCCAGCUCCUCUCAAAUGUAUUAGCUUGCCGGUGUUUGGUGGCAUCACAGGUGUGAUAACUAUCUACGCUUGUGGUUUUCCACUAGGUAACCUUCAGCAAUGGAGGUUCACCGGAGCUCACAAAUGUCUCUCCUUGCCAAGGACAGAUUUUGACUAUUUGAUCUCAAAUCAGGUAGGACUACCCGCUGAACUUAAGCAUAUCAAUAAGCGGAGGA
rnacentral:misc_RNA from 1 species